UAGGUGAAGAGAGCACUGGAGCCCUGAU
rnacentral:piRNA from 1 species